rnacentral:rRNA from 1 species
CCUACGGGUGGCAGCAGUGGGGGAUAUUGCACAAUGGGGGGAACCCUGAUGCAGCGACGCCGCGUGAGCGAUGGAGUACUUCGGUAUGUAAAGCUCUGUCAGCAGGGAAGAAAAUGACGGUACCUGACCAAGAAGCCCCGGCUAAAUACGUGCCAGCAGCCGCGGUAAUACGUAGGGGGCAAGCGUUAUCCGGAUUUAUUGGGUUUAAAGGGUGCGCAGGCGGAAGAUCAAGUCAGCGGUAAAAUUGAGAGGCGCAACCUCUUCGAGCCGUUGAAACUGGUUUUCUUGAGUGAGUGAGAAGUAUGCGGAAUGCGUGGUGUAGCGGUGAAAUGCAUAGAUAUCACGCAGAACUCCGAUUGCGAAGGCAGCAUACCGGCGCUCAACUGACGCUCAUGCACGAAAGUGUGGGUAUCGAACAGGAUUAGAUACCCUUGUAGUC